rnacentral:rRNA from 1 species
UACGUAGGGUGCAAGCGUUAAUCGGAAUUACUGGGCGUAAAGCGUGCGCAGGCGGUGAUGUAAGACAGGUGUGAAAUCCCCGGGCUUAACCUGGGAACUGCAUUUGUGACUGCAUCGCUGGAGUGCGGCAGAGGGGGAUGGAAUUCCGCGUGUAGCAGUGAAAUGCGUAGAUAUGCGGAGGAACACCGAUGGCGAAGGCAAUCCCUGGGCCUGCACUGACACUGAGGCACGAAAGCGUGGGGAGCAAACAGG